rnacentral:rRNA from 1 species
AGUGAACGCUGGCGGUAGGCCUAACACAUGCAAGUCGAACGGCAGCACAGUAAGAGCUUGCUCUUACGGGUGGCGAGUGGCGGACGGGUGAGGAAUACAUCGGAAUCUACUUUUUCGUGGGGGAUAACGUAGGGAAACUUACGCUAAUACCGCAUACGACCUACGGGUGAAAUCAGGGGAGCUUCGGACCUUGCGCGAUUGAAUGAGCCGAUGUCGGAUUAGCUAGUUGGCGGGGUAAAGGCCCACCAAGGCGACGAUCCGUAGCUGGUCUGAGAGGAUGAUCAGCCACACUGGAACUGAGACACGGUCCAGACUCCUACGGGAGGCAGCAGUGGGGAAUAUUGGACAAUGGGCGCAAGCCUGAUCCAGCCAUACCGCGUGGGUGAGGAAGGCCUUCGGGUUGUAAAGCCCUUUUGUUGGGAAAGAAAAGCAGCAGGUUAAUACCCCGCUGUUCUGACGGUACCCAAAGAAUAAGCACCGGCUAACUUCGUG